UACAGAGGGGGCAAGCGUUGUUCGGAAUUACUGGGCGUAAAGGGCGCGUAGGCGGCCUUCUAAGCCGAACGUGAAAUCCCCGGGCUCAACCCGGGAACUGCGUCCGAUACUGGAAGGCUUGAAUCCGGGAGAGGGAUGCGGAAUUCCCGGUGUAGCGGUGAAAUGCGUAGAUAUCGGGAGGAACAUCAGUGGCGAAGGCGGCUGCCUGGCCCAAUACUGACACUCAGGUGCGACAGCGUGGGGAGCAAACAGG
rnacentral:rRNA from 1 species